CGGGGAUAAAGCAUCCAGUCGUAUUUAUAGGGGUCGAAGGAAAAAAAAGCCGAAGCACCAGUCGCCACUUUACUGCGUUCUCCUCUCCGUCGUGUCGUGUCUGGUUUGCUGCUCUCUGGAAACGAUUAGUAUUAUUAAGCCGCGGCGCAGACCAAUCGUCUCGGCUGCUGCUGGAAGGGAUCGUGCCAUCAUCGAUCGAAAGGCGAUACGUUCGAGUUGCUGAUUCAGAAGAUUCGCGAAGAACUGAGCCGAGACUUCAAGGGGAGCACUUCCGCACCGGACGGCUUAAAUCUGCUGCGUAAGAUCCUGUGACAAGCCCAAACUCCAGCUUAAAAAAUAAAUCUCUUCAAAUAAGCUCCAAAGUUAUUGGUUAACAAUUUCCCAUACCACUCAAAGCGUAACGGCCCUGAAAUGCCGUCACCAAAGAGUAUUCAAAAUAGAGCGCGGAUUCGGAACAAAUUUCUACCAAAUUCAUGGUACCAGUCAAAGGUACAACCGUAACGCCUUUGAUAAGGCGUUACUUUUUUCAGGCGUUAUGAAAAUUAAAGGUGCCGAUUUUUUUGAUCACAGCAAUCUCCAAAAUUUUCCCAGUGACAGUUGAAAAUAAACAAACCCACUCACCGUCCCGGGACAAAUUCUGAAAAAAAGUGAGAUUCACAAAUCAAUGGAGGAAACCCGGGCGCUCUUGAUUUGUGCAUUGGACAGUGCGACGACCGCACUGUCCUGGAGAAGUACGUCUCCCGCACGACAAACGCUACCAAAACGUCACGCUGGUCUUCAGCACCGGUGAAGACCAGGACUACGAGUAUCUUCCCUUGGCCAGCUCUGAUGCACCUCAACAACCC